rnacentral:rRNA from 1 species
CAUGGGCCACCUCGGCGCCGCCGCCGGCUUCCCCGUCCCCGGCCAGCCGGGCCAUGAUAACUUCUCGAAUCGCACGGCCUUGCGCUGGCGAUGGUUCAUUCAAAUUUCUGCCCUAUCAACUUUCGACGGCUGGGUCUUGGCCAGCCGUGGUGACAACGGGUAACGGAGGGUUAGGGCUCGACCCCGGAGAAAACGCCUGAGAAACGGCGUUUACAUCCAAGGAAGGCAGCAGGCGCGCAAAUUACCCAAUGCCGACACGGCGAGGUAGUGACGAGAAAUACUGAUACAGGGCUCUUUUGGGUCUUGUAAUUGGAAUGAGUACAAUUUAAAUCUCUUAACGAGGAACAAUUGGAGGGCAAGUCUGGUGCCAGCAGCCGCGGUAAUUCCAGCUCCAAUAGCGUAUAUUAAAGUUGUUGCAGUUAAAAAGCUCGUAGUUGAACCUUGGGCCUGGCUGGCCGGUCCGCCUCACCGCGUGCACUGGUCCGGCCGGGCCUUUCCCUCUGGGGAACCGCAUGCCCUUCACUGGGCGUGCCGGGGAACCAGGACUUUUACUUUGAAAAAAUUAGAGUGUUCAAAGCAGGCCUAUGCUCGAAUACAUUAGCAUGGAAUAAUAGAAUAGGACGCGUGGUUCUAUUUUGUUGGUUUCUAGGACCGCCGUAAUGAUUAAUAGGGACAGUCGGGGGCAUCAGUAUUCAAUUGUCAGAGGUGAAAUUCUUGGAUUUAUUGAAGACUAACUACUGCGAAAGCAUUUGCCAAGGAUGUUUUCAUUAAUCAGGAACGAAAGUUAGGGGAUCGAAGACGAUCAGAUACCGUCGUAGUCUUAACCAUAAACUAUGCCGACUAGGGAUCGGACGGUGUUAUUUUUUGACCCGUUCGGCACCUUACACGAAAGUACAAGUUUCUGGGUUCUGGGGGGAGUAUGGUCGCAAGGCUGAAACUUAAAGAAAUUGACGGAAGGGCACCACCAGGGGUGGAGCCUGCGGCUUAAUUUGACUCAACACGGGGAAACUCACCAGGUCCAGACAUGAAAAGGAUUGACAGAUUGAGAGCUCUUUCUUGAUUUUAUGGGUGGUGGUGCAUGGCCGUUCUUAGUUGGUGGAGUGAU